UACGGAGGAUCCGAGCGUUAUCCGGAUUUAUUGGGUUUAAAGGGUGCGCAGGUUGUUUGAUAAGUCAGUGGUGAAAGUCUGUCGCUUAACGGUAGGAUUGCCAUUGAUACUGUUGGACUUGAAUAUGGAUGAGGUAGGCGGAAUGUGUAGUGUAGCGGUGAAAUGCUUAGAGAUCACACAGAAUAUCGAUUGCGAAGGCAGCUCACAAAGCCAAGAUUGACGCUGAGGCACGAAAGUGUGGGGAUCAAACA
rnacentral:rRNA from 1 species